UACGUAGGGGGGCUAGCGUUGUCCGGAAUCAUUGGGCGUAAAGCGCGUGUAGGCGGCCCGGUAAGUCCGCUGUGAAAGUCGGGGGCUCAACCCUCGGAUGCCGGUGGAUACUGUCGGGCUUGAGUACGGAAGAGGCGAGUGGAAUUCCUGGUGUAGCGGUGAAAUGCGCAGAUAUCAGGAAGAACACCCGUGGCGAAGGCGGCUCUCUGGGACGGUACUGACGCUGAGACGCGAAAGCGUGGGGAGCGAACAGG
rnacentral:rRNA from 1 species